ACACAGUGUCCCGUGCCAAAGCACUACUGCCACCCCAACCACUUGUCUGGCUUUACCCCGUGGCCUUCAGGCACUGAAGCGGGUUACAUAGUG
rnacentral:snoRNA from 1 species